UUAAACAGAAAGAGCAAUGGCCAAGUCAAAGAAUCACACAAAUCAUAACCAAAGUAAGGCUAGAGCAGAUAUUUUUUCUUCAGACUUUAAAGACUGCCCUGUUAACGAGUUGCUGUUAUCAUGGGAGGAUGUCAUAUAAUGGACAAGAAACACCACAGAAAUGGCAUCUACAGACCUAAAAGACAAAGAUGUCCAGAUAACAAAGGGGUGGAUCCAAAAUUCUUGAGAAACAUGAGAUUUGCAAAGAAACACAACAAGAAGGUUACGAAGUGAUUGCUGAGGUGGUGGUGCCUGGUGUUUAAUGAUCUAGCAGUUUCAUUAUUUGUUGUAUAGAGUCUGCAAGUCAAUAAAUACUGGACAAAGAAAAA